GUCCUACACGACCGUACCGCAAACCGACACUGGUGCGCGAGAUGAGUAUUCUAAGGCGCUUGAGAGAACUCAGGAGAAGGAACUCGGCAAUUUGACACCGUAACUUCGGAAGAAGGUGUGCCUUUAGUAGGUGAAGUCCCUCGCGGAUGGAGCCCAAUGAGGUUGCAAAAAAUCGGUGGCUGCGACUGUUUAUUAAAAACACAGCACUCUGCAAACACGAAAGUGGACGUAUAGGGUGUGACGCCUGCCCGGUGCUGGAAGAUUAAAUGAUGGGGUGCAAGCUCUUGAUUGAAGUCCCAGUAAACGGCGGCCGUAACAAUAACGGUCCUAAGGUAGCGAAAUUCCUUGUCGGGUAAGUUCCGACCUGCACGAAUGGCGUAACGAUGGCCACACUGUCUCCUCCUGAGACUCAGCGAAGUUGAAAUGUUUGUGAUGAUGCAAUCUCCCCGCGGAAAGACGGAAAGACCCCAUGAACCUUUACUGUAGCUUUGUAUUGGACUUUGAACAGAUCUGUGUAGGAUAGGUGGGAGGCUUUGAAGCAGGGUCGCUAGAUCUUGUGGAGCCAACGUUGAAAUACCACCCUGGUGUGUUUGAGGUUCUAACCUAGGCCCGUAAUCCGGGUUGGGGACAGUGCAUGGUAGGCAGCUUGACUGGGGCGGUCUCCUCCCAAAGUGUAACGGAGGAGUUCGAAGGUACGCUAGUUACGGUCGGACAUCGUGACGAUAGUGCAAUGGCAUAAGCGUGCUUAACUGCGAGACUGACAAGUCGAGCAGAUGCGAAAGCAGGACAUAGUGAUCCGGUGGUUCUGUAUGGAAGGGCCAUCGCUCAACGGAUAAAAGGUACUCUGGGGAUAACAGGCUGAUACCGCCCAGGAGUUCAUAUCGACGGCGGUGUUUGGCACCUCGAUGUCGGCUCAUCUCAUCCUGGGGCUGUAGCAGGUCCCAAGUGUAUGGCUGUUCGCCAUUUAAAGAGGUACGUGAGCUGGGUUUAAAACGUCGUGAGACAGUUUGGUCCCUAUCUUCCGUGGGCGCUGCAGAUUUGAGGAAGCCUGCUCCUAGUACGAGAGGACCGGAGUGGACGCACCUCUGGUGUAUCGGUUGUCACGCCAGUGGCAUUGCCGAGUAGCUAUGUGCGGAAGAGAUAACCGCUGAAAGCAUCUAAGCGGGAAACUCGUUUCAAGAUGAGAUCUGCCGGGGCCUUGAGCCCCCUGAAGAGUCGUUCAAGACCAGGACGUUGAUAGGUCGGGUGUGGAAGCGCAGUAAUGCGUUAAGCUAACCGGUACUAAUUGCUCGUGCGGCUUGACC
rnacentral:rRNA from 1 species